UACGAAGGGUGCAAACGUUGCUCGGAAUUAUUGGGCGUAAAGCGCACGUAGGCGGCUUGGCAAGUCGGAUGUGAAAGCCCUCGGCUCAACCAAGGAAGUGCAUCCGAAACUGCUGAGCUUGAGUACUUAAGAGGAUCACGGAAUUCCCGGUGUAGAGGUGAAAUUCGUAGAUAUCGGGAGGAACACCAGUGGCGAAAGCGGCGAUCUGGGAAGAUACUGACGCUGAGGUGCGAAAGCGUGGGGAGCAAACAGG
rnacentral:rRNA from 1 species